CAUGUAUAAUUAUAGUGCAAUGCAGCCAUCACCAUUAGUCAUAACAGAGAUAAAUGCUUCAUAUGGUGAUUCUGAUAUUAAUGUCCAACAAUGCUCGCCAAACUUCCAUCCAUCAUCCCCUCAUUCAAGAGAUAUUCGUUCGCCCCUGGAGUUAGCUGCUGCUGCUUCUGAUCAAGCAGAUAGCCCUGCCAUCUCCUCUAUCUACUCCCGACUUGGAAUCAAGGCCAAAAUCUUCAGGGAUAGACGUAAAUGCAAUGCCUGCUAAUGUACCUGAUUUUGAUGCUCCAAAUGAGCCAGUUGAGGAGACAACUCAAGCUCUACCAACCGGGGUAAAUUUGUUUCUAUUCAUGAAUCAGGAUUUAAGAUUCAGGUUUCUUCUUCACGGAGAGCUUAUUGUAAUCAAAAUGAUAUUGCGACUUAUAUAUUUGGAUUCUUCUUUGGUAAAACCCCUUUGAUCAAGUUCUCCAAAGAAGACAGGGGAAGGUUUUAUUGGAGCAUCUUUUACAACUAUCAUUUCUGCAUUUGUGGUGGCAUCAAUGCAGCAUAGAUGCAGACUUAUGUUAAGGGAGUUUUUGUGCCCAUACAUCUUUUCCAAGAACUGUUUGGAUCGUGGGGUGUUUCUGGCCGGUUAUGGAGUUGCUGAAUAUGCUCCCACUCGCUUCAAGAAAAGCCUAACGGAUCAUUAAGAAUUCAUGGGGAGAAAGCUGGGGAGAAGAUGCAUACUACAAGUUCUGCAUAGGCCAAAUACAUGACAUUUGCAUGGUGGAUUCCAUGGCGUCUACAGUAGCAUAGCGCAAAAAUGUUGGGUUCGAAAAGGGGGGUUAUACUUCUUGACUGGCCAAAAAAUAUAAUCCAUUGAUUGGUAUCAUAGUGCUUAGCUCUUCCUCUCUUUUUCCGUGUUAGGAAUAGGGUACAUGGCACGGCAGUUCUCACUGGCAUGCCUAUAGG